CCUACGGGUGGCAGCAGUGGGGAAUAUUGGGCAAUGGGCGAAAGCCUGACCCAGCAACGCCGCGUGAAGGAAGAAGGCUUUCGGGUUGUAAACUUCUUUUGACAGGGAAGAGCAGAAGACGGUACCUGUCGAAUAAGCCACGGCUAACCACGUGCCAGCAGCCGCGGUAAUACGUAGGUGGCAAGCGUUGUCCGGAUUUACUGGGUGGAAAGGGCGUGUAGCCGGGCUGACAAGUCAGUUGUGAAAUCCGGGGGCUCAACCCCCGAACUGCAUUUGAAACUGUUGGUCUUGAGUCUCGGAGAGGCAGGCGGAAUUCCUGGUGUAGCGGUGAAAUGCGUAGAUAUUAGGAGGAACACCAGUGGCGAAGGCGGCCUGCUGGACGACAACUGACGGUGAGGCGCGAAAGCGUGGGGAGCAAACAGGAUUAGAUACCCCGGUAGUC
rnacentral:rRNA from 1 species